rnacentral:rRNA from 1 species
CCUACGGGAGGCAGCAGUGAGGAAUAUUGGUCAAUGGGCGCGAGCCUGAACCAGCCAAGUCGCGUGAGGGAAGACUGUCCUAUGGAUUGUAAACCUCUUUUGUCGGGGAGCAAAAGACGCUACGCGUGGCGUUCCGAGAGUACCCGAAGAAAAAGCAUCGGCCAACCCCGUGUCAGCAGCCGCGGUAAUACGGGGGAUGCGGGCGUUAUUCGGAUGUAUUGGGGUUUAAGGGUGCGGAGGAGGAAGACCAAGUCAGCGGUAAAAUUGAGGGGCUCAACCUCUCCGAGCCGUUGAAACUGGUUGUCUUGAGUGGGUGAGAAGUAUGCGGAAUGCGUGGUGUAGCGGUGAAAUGCAUAGAUAUCACGCAGAACUCCGAUUGCGAAGGCAGCAUACCGGCGCUCAACUGACGCUGAAGCACGAAAGUGUGGGUAUCGAACAGGAUUAGAUACCCGAGUAGUC